rnacentral:lncRNA from 1 species
AAUAAUAAAAAAUAUAACCAGAAUUGAAAAUAUCAUCAAGUACUUAAAGAUGAAAAACCAUAAAAACAAAAUUAAAGUAAAAAAAUAAAGAAAAUAAAGAUAGGAAAGAGAUGUUGAGCUUAAACAUCUCUAAGGUCAAUGGAUUGUUUGUCUCGAUUUACAUGAGCACCCCAGUAGUGUUUAAACAUUUUCGUGUCUC